AUUCUGACUUUGUUUCUUUUGUUUUGUUUAGGGAAAGAAAAUUCUUGAAGGUGUAGACAACCCUAUUGGUCCUUAUGGCACAAAGGAAGAACCUGCUGUUGUCAAGUCCUACUAUGGCAAAAGAAAAGUUGGAUCCCGGGAGGUGAAGGCGGUAUGUUUCUUUCAUCAAAUAUCUGUUUCUUCUCUUCUAGAGGAUGAGCAUGAUGUGGUCUGGUUCUGGCCGGAGAAAGGAAAGCCACGUGAUUGCUCACAGCAUUUUGUGGUGAGUAGAUAUCUCAAAUUCGGAGAAAAUUCAUUUCAUAUUUCCUAGUAUUGAGCUUAUCUAUUUGAGCUCACAUUUAAAUAUCUGUUUCUUUGCAUUAUCCGGAUCCAUAUCGUGUUUAGAAAUUUCUGUUUCUCACACAUGGAUUCACCAAUAACUCUGAAGAUUU